rnacentral:rRNA from 1 species
CUGCUCUUUCCCUCCCCCUUCGCCUCCGCCUCCGCCUUCCCUCCGACUUUUCCCUCGCCGAAAAACCAAUUCCAGGCUCCAGCAGCAGGCAACCUCCAAUUUUCCAUUAUAGUAUUGCUCCCGCUAGGGUUCCAGCCGCCUUCAUGGAAUCCGCGGCCGCCUGCAGAUCCUUCACCAGCCGCCUUUUAGGACCGCCUUGCCUCCCGCAGCCGGGAGUGCUUUGUCUUGGGCGCGUCUGGCCGCCUGCGCCGAGGGUUUGAGUUAUUGCAUGUGGUGGCACCAAGCAUGAGGCGACAACUGCAUUACUUGCAAGGAAGUUACAAAAUCUAUGGGUCAUCAUAAGCGUGACUUUCUUGCAAGUUGUGCAGUUGCUGUCUCAAGCUUGCUGACUCCGUUUGCCAGACCGCAAUGUGAAAUAGGAAAUUUAGUCAGGAAAUGCCUAAAUGAUCCAGUAAAUGGUUGAAUUGGGCCACUUAUGUCUUCUUAAAUAUGUUGAAGGAUAUUGGGAACGUAUUCUUAAUUUUGAGAACUUGUUUCCAGAUGUAAAACUUUAAUCGGAUAUCUCUAUACUUAAAAGAGUACUAGUGGAUUAAGGAUACAAGAGUGCAUCCUAAGUUGCAAUGGUUGUAUCCACGGGAAGAACAAUUAUUGUGUCUACCAGAACCUCCAAUUGAUGCACCAUGUGAAGUCAUGUUGACAUUUUCUUUUCUCUUUGGUAAGGUUAUGGAAUAAAUUUUGUUUCCCCUAGUAUUGUGUUAGUGGUGUAUAUAUUCACUAAACAAGGUUCUUCCAUACCUCUGUUUCCAUAUGCCGCUGCACCAUCAUCCACUGCCAUGUUGAGGUGGUGGAGAUUAGCAGGCAGCAGUCUUUGUGGCGUUGAUGGGGAGGUGUCUUCGCGGUGCUGAUUGGGAGGUUGAGACCUCGUGGAAUCCAUGUUCUCAGGCGGAGGCUAAGUUGGCGAUUUGCCACUGCAGUUGUGAAUCAGCAUAAGAGAUGGCACACUUCCGGUGUAGGUGCCGAGGGCCUCGCUAGAUCCAGAUGGAUUGUUGGAGCCGCAAUCUCGCUCGCCACUCUGCAGGGGUUGUUAAGGUUGAUGGCGAGCCUCUACAGGGUGAUGUAGUGCCAUUUUUUCUUUGAAAAAACUCAGACUUUAUUCAUUUGUAAUAAGUAAUAAGUACAUCAUUUGUGAGGAGCAUUACAAUUUCAUUUAAAGGCUCCUCAAACCAAUCGGAAGUCAAAGAAAAUCUAGCUGGAAAUCAGGGUGAUGUAGUGGCAGAGGAAAGGCUGACGGGACGAAAUGACCCUCCUUGCUUGAUCAGGUUAUGUAUGG